CGCGUAGGCGGCACCAUCAGUCAGGCGUGAAAUUCCCGGGCUCAACCUGGGGACUGCGCUUGAUACAGUGGAGCUAGAGGACGGAAGAGGCUCGCGGAAUUCCCAGUGUAGAGGUGAAAUUCGUAGAUAUUGGGAAGAACACCGGUGGCGAAGGCGGCGAGCUGGUCCGUUACUGACGCUGAGGCGCGACAGCGUGGGGAGCAAACA
rnacentral:rRNA from 1 species